rnacentral:rRNA from 1 species
CCUACGGGAGGCAGCAGUGGGGAAUAUUGGACAAUGGGGGGAACCCUGAUCCAGCGACGCCGCGUGAGUGAAGAAGUAUUUCGGUAUGUAAAGCUCUAUCAGCAGGGAAGAAAGAAAUGACGGUACCUGACUAAGAAGCCCCGGCUAACUCCGUGCCAGCCGCCGCGGUAAUACGGAGGAUGCGAGCGUUAUCGGUAUUUAUUCGGUUUAAAGGGUGCGGAGGCGGUCGGUUAAGUCAGUGGUAACAGCCCGGGGCUCAACCCCGGCCCGCAGUUGAAACUGGCAGUCUCGAGUUGGAGAGAAGUAUGCGGAAUGCGCGGUGUAGCGGUGAAAUGCAUAGAUAUCGCGCAGAACUCCGAUUGCGAAGGCAGCAUGCCGGCUCCACACUGACGCUGAGGCACGAAAGCGUGGGUAUCGAACAGGAUUAGAUACCCUAGUAGUC